UUGCCAGUCACCACCCGCAUCCAUACUGACCCACAGAGUUAAACAAAAUUUAAUCAAUGCAGCAGCCAUAAUGAAUAAAAUAUAGCAGAUUCAGGAAUGGCAGCAUUGCUAAGAAUGGAUAUAUAUGUAUGUAUGGUGCCAAUUGUCAGAUAGUACAAUUGUCUACCCUCUCAGGAAUCGGAGGUAGUUUCAGUAAACCAGGAAUUUAUCUUAUAUUUUGAUUUAAAUAAGUGAAAAUGCAUGUCCUAUCUGAUUUCCAAAGCAGACAAAUUGUUGGGGCGCGGAUGGUUGGAACUUCAGUCAUUCAAAAAUGCUGAAUUUUUUUUAAUGUUCCAAGAGUUACAGCUUCUAAAAUAAUUUUGGCAUUCCAAAACCAAACUAAAACCAACCCUGGCAAGCAUAAUUCUUGACGAAAGGCAAAGCUCACAGAGAAACAUCGUAGAAUUGUGGAACUUAUUAAUGUCUAAAUGCCAUAAACUGCAGUAGCAAAAUUGACAUCCGAGUUACACAACUACUAGGCCAACCUCGUGUCAAUCAAAACCGUUUGUCGCGAUGUCUAUAUAGUUGGAUACCAUGCAAAGGUUGCAGUUGCUAAACUUUUCCUAUACUCAUCAACCGAAAAAAUGGUGGCUAGGCUAUUGGAAGUGGUCAAUGACUCAACGGAACAAUGCUAUCUUCUUUGAUGAAUCUUAAUUCAUCCUUUCCUUCCCAUUUCGGGGAAAAUUUAUGUCUGGUGACUAUUCAAAGAAGUCUUGAAACUUGACUUUUUGGUCUCUACCGUCAAGCAUUGAGGUAAAUCUGAGAUGAUUUGAGCUGCUGUAUCACGGAUUUCAAUUAACCCUUUAGUCGUUCUACAUGACAAAUUUAAUUAUCUGUGUACUUUGGUUUUUCAUGUCCAUUUUAUAGUACAAACAUUAUUCCUUGAUGAUGGCAGUCUUUUAGGACGAUAAUGCGCCGACUCACGCGGCUAAUGUUAUUCAAAAUUGGUACAAAUGGCGCAAAAUUGAAGUAGGUAACGUUGAAUGGUCCCCACAGUCACCGGAAAUCAAAAACUUAUGGUGCAUUUUAGAGCGGCAAGUGGGGACCCUUUUCCCAAUUGUAUCAUCACUGAAAGAGCUAAAGCAGAUUUUACUUUAGAUUGGCUCACAGUUUCCCUAAUAAGAGCAUGUGCAAGUCAAUUCCUCGAUGUAUUAAAGUUGUGAUUGAUCCCAAAUCUGGACCACCUCUGUCUUAAAUAAUAAAACACUCAUUUAACAAGGUGUUUACUUUAUUUUGUCCAAUUCCCCCAUCGCUCUGUAUAUAUAUAUAUGGAAUAAUUACUAUGAAGCAUUGUGUAGAAUAUAUUGUAUAAAAGAUUGUGCGUAAGGUCAAAACAAUGUGAAGUAAAUGCAAGGUAAAUCACAAGAAAACAAAUAUGUGAAUUAAUGUAGACUAACCUUGCAUUCAAUAUUUCGCAUUACUUUGGCUUUACCCACGAUCUUUUAUACAAUAUAUAUAUAUAUAUAUACAUACACAUAUAAAUAUAUAUCUGUUUAUACACACACAUAUGCAAGAGAACCCCCAGAACUGGAUGCCAGUAUCUCAGCCUUAUCUAAGCUUAAUUAGAUUACCAAUGAAAAAAAUCAAACAAUACCAAUGUAAGUAACCGCCACAAAUUAUGAAUCCACAAACGCCUUCCACUUCACCAGAAUGAAGGACAACUCGAAAUAAUGAAACUAAGAUAUAAGAAAGUCCCAAACGAUCAUAACAUAUGUGUAUUCCCAUCAUCAGCUGCUUUCGACAUUUGAGAAGUACCUUUUGAUCAGGUGGUGUCAACAGCAUUAAAAAUAUAAAUGCUGCCUGAGGAUCCACCAAUUUAUUACUAUGAGUAACAACAUAAGAGUAAACAAAUAGUGAUGACUUACAGCUACUCAAUACAAAUAUAUGUUGUUUUUGGCACUCCGUCGCUUACGACGUCAAGGGUUCCAGUUGAUCCGACCAACGGAACAGCCUGCUCGUGAAAUUAACGUGCAAGUGGCUGAGCACUCCGCAGACACGUGUACCCUUAACGUAGUAGUUCUCCGGGAUAUUUAGCGUAACACAGUGUGACAAGGCUGACCCUUUGAAUUACAGGCACAACAGAAACGGGAAGUAAGAGUGAGAGAAAGUUGCGGUGAAAGAGUACAGCAGGGUUUGCCACCAUCCCCUGCCGGAGCCUCGUGGGGCUUUAGGUGUUUUCGCUCAAUAAACACUCACAACGCCCGGUCUGGGAAUCGAAACCGCGAUCCUAUGACCGCGAUUCCGCUGCCCUAACCACUGGGCCAUUGCGCCUCCACUGUGAAUGUAAGAUUGUUGUUAUUAUUGCUAUUGUUGUUGUUGUUGUUGUUACAGUUGCUGCUGUUGCUGCUGCCCAUUGGUUGUUGUAGCUGUACAAGUAAUGCUAUUGUUAAAUGUAAUAUGAUAGCAGUGACAUUAACAAAUAAUAUUGAUUUUGUAGUUGUUUAUAUUUCAUUAAAUAAAAAGGGAGUAGGGGGAAAGAGGGGGGCAGUAGCUGUAGCCCUUAUAAUAUUUGCAGACUGAUGAACUGGGUGUGGAGAAUGUUCAGCUUGAACCUAUGUGGAUCAACAUUAGCAGGGACAAUGUGGUAAUUUUGUGGAGGAAGGACUGUACUGGCAAAGUGUUUCGCAUUGGACAUAGGUAGGGAGUCACUGUAGAAUUGAUGAGAGAUAAGUAGACCCAGGAGGAGAGACACAACAGGAGAGAGAGCAUAAAGGUUCAGUAGAAAUGGUAACCAGCUUGUUAAUUCAGAAAUGUUAACAGUAGAAGUGGCAGACAGAAGAAAUAGCAUCUGCGGGCCAAGGAACAGAAUAGAAUGUUGGUGAGUGAAAAUUCGGUAAUUAACCAAAAGGUUUCUUGUGACUGUGAUGGCAGCAGAAGCAGUAGCACUUUCCUUGUGAUCUGUUCAACAUUCUGGUGUGGCCUUAACUGUAUUACAAUGUGUUUUGCACUUGAGAUUUGUACAUUGAUAAUAACUGAUAAGGGCUCAUGUAUUUUCCAAAGUGUUGUGUCGACGUCCCCAGGUGAAGAAGUAGGAUCUCCCAAGACAUAUAAAUAGAGAUAGUCUGGCCGUAGUAGAUUGUUGAGUAGCAGUCGAGUAGCAGUUGUGUAGCGGUUGAGUAGAGAUCAUCCGAAGGUGCUAGAUAGCAGUAGCUUGAGACAUAACACAAAGAAACUUAGUCUUUGUGAUGAAGCUAUAAUGGUGUUAUAUAUGUGAAAUCCCCAUUAAGGAUCAUUAGAAAGUGUUUGGUGUUUUCAGAGCUGAUACCAGAGUAUCCAACCCUACAUUUUGUUCUGUCUUCUCUCAGUAUAGCAAUCAGAGUCUUCUUAUACAAUAUUUUUCUGCAACAUCUUCCAACCGUUACCUUCUUUACACUAAUGGGGAAGAUGUAGUUGAAAAGUUAUAAAGAAAUCUCGAGAUUUAUGAUCAUGCACAUAUUUCUGCGUAAAUCUGUUACAGGGCAAAAUUUGAAAUAUUUCAUGCCAAAUCAUGUGUCAUCAUAAGACAACAUGAACCUCUCAACCAGUUCUUUUUUUUUUUAACUAAAUUUUAGUAUUUUUAAUUCAAUUAAGAAUUUUAUGUCAGUUAUUUAGGGUGCAGCUAAGAUUUCCUUGUGCAUAGCAAUGGCCUUGGGAGUUCACUUCUUUAAAAGUGAUGGUUGUUUACAUGUGUAUGUUUGUGUGUGUGAAUGUAUAUUUAUCAUCAUCAUCAUCAUCAUCAUCAUCAUCUUCUCCUCAUCAUUCAACAUCUGUUUUCCAUACUGGCAGGAAUUGGAUGGUUUUACAGGAACUGGCUUGUUGGAGCACUCCACCAAGUUCCAGUUGUCUGUUUUGGUAUGGUUUCUAUGGCUGGAUGCCCUUCUUAAUGCCAACCACAGAGUACAUGGGGCUCUUUUUACAAGGGACUAGCAUGGGCACAUUUUGAUAUAAUGCCAGCAUGAGUACUUUUUUUUACAUGACGAUGGUAUGGGAGUUUUCUUUAGUGGUGCUAGCAGAGAUGAAUUAAAAGUGCUAGUGAUGAAAUAUGAUUAACGUUACAAAAUAUUUCCUUUAUUUUAUUCCUCAGAUGUGGACAUGAGAAAUAAACCAUGAAAGUUAAACAUAUAGAGCAGAUAUUGUAUGAAUCUACAGUAGGGUGGCUGGUAAGUAGGCUAUUGUGUUUAUAUGUGUGUACAAAUGUGUGGUGGAAAGUGAGCAAGGCAGGAAGCAUUGCCUUCAUAGGAUCUGGAACUUGUAUUUUGCUAAAAUAAAUAUUAUGACAGUGCUAUUCAGUGUGUAUUCACAAUGAGGGGUCAUUAGAGAUUGUUGGAUGUUUCCAGAACCAGUGCCAGAGUAUUCAUGGCCUUAGGUCUGCCCUACAACCUGUUCUCUCUGUACAACAAUGAGAGCCUCCUUCUCUUCUGUCAUGACAACAAAGUGGAAAUCACCAUUCUGAUCUACAUACAAUCUAACUAUCCAACUGUCGGUUCUUUGAGGAGGUAAAGUAAAUCCUUUUUUGCUGUCUCCUUAGCAGUGUUCCAAUAGCCUAAUGGCCUUAGUUUAUAUCUCUUCAUGUGUGAUUAUGGAUAUUAAAUAUUAAAGGCUAUGCGUGGGAUGAUUGCGUAUUCAUGUCCAGAAGCUUAGUGGUCAAAAGAUGUAUCAUUUACUGUACCAAGGGUUUAUAUAUAUUCCCAUAU